UGUUUGUUUUUCUGUGUUUCAGAUACCCAAGGGCCUUUGACAACCCCAGUAUCUUUUCCAGUGGAAUUUGUUUUUGCUCUAAAAAUUAAAAUGUGCGAUGUGACGUUCUGUGUGUGAACACUUUGGUGGAGGAGACUGACUGUGGUGGAUGGAACAUUGAGAGGAAGCCAGAAAGGUCAAGGCCGCUAAAGUCAUCUUUUCAAAUAAAUCCAAACUUCACAUGCAGAGAAGAGACCAGGAUGAGGGUAAGAAAGAUUAAAUUGAUGGUGAUGUGGAAGAAAGACUAAAGAACACAUGAGGGAGUAGAGGAUGCUGAGGGACGAAGUAAUUCCAAGAUGGAGUUCUCAAAAAGUGAAGCAGGAGGCCCAGGAAGAACAGAGUGGGUCUAGAAUGAGAUGAACUUGGACCACAUCCAUAUUGGUCUCUUUGGUUCCUUAAACAACAGCCAAGCCAUCAAUACAGAAGGUGGAUGUGAGGUGGAGGCUUACCCGGAGGACAUUUUGAUGAGGAUAACUAAAGAUAAGUGAAUGCCAAACUAAGUUUAUAUCUAUCGAUUCCUGAAAGUAUCAUGAAGCCCAUUAUUUUGUAUGAUCAGUAAAAAGUAAUUUAAAAAAGAA